GUGGAUUAUAAAUUAGUUGGUAGAGCAUGAGACUCAAUCUCAGGGUUGUGGGUUCAAGCCCCAUGUUGGGCA